UACGAAGGGGGCUAGCGUUGCUCGGAAUCACUGGGCGUAAAGGGCGCGUAGGCGGAUCUUUAAGUCGGGGGUGAAAGCCCAGGGCUCAACCCUGGAAUUGCCUUCGAUACUGAAGAUCUCGAGACCGGAAGAGGUAAGUGGAACUGCGAGUGUAGAGGUGAAAUCGUAGAUAUUCGGAAGAACACCAGUGGCGAAGGCGGCUCAGCUGGUCCGGUACUGACGCUGAGGUGCGAAAGCGUGGGGAGCAAAACAGGUUGAGGAAACCCUG
rnacentral:rRNA from 1 species